GGAGCGGUGUCCGAGCGGUUUAAGGAGGCGGUCUUGAAAACCGUUGUGCCGAAAGGUACCGGGGGUUCGAAUCCCCCCUGCUCCG
rnacentral:tRNA from 2 species